rnacentral:rRNA from 1 species
GAUGAACGCUAGCUACAGGCUUAACACAUGCAAGUCGAGGGACCGGCGCAGGGGUGAGUAACACGUAUCCAACCUGCCCUUUACCCGGGGAUAGCCUUUCGAAAGAAAGACUAAUACUCGAAACAAUGGAUGGGGAUGCGUUCCAGUAGGUUGUUGGUGAGGGAACGGCUGACCAAGCCUUCGAUGGCUAGGGGUUCUGGGAGGAAGCUCCACUACAUUUGAGCUGCGGCACGGUCCAAACUGGUACGCGAGACAGCGGAUAGGAAUAUUAGGGACUGAGCGCUAGCCUGACCCAGCCACGUAGCGUGAGGAGUGAUGGCUUAUGGGUCGUAUGCUUCUUUUAUAUAAGAAUAUGUAUUAUAUGAAUAAGGAUCGGCUAACUCCGUGCCAGCAGCCGCGGUAAUAC